rnacentral:lncRNA from 1 species
GCUUUGCUAAGUAAGAUGUUUACUGGAGUACAUUUCUCUCCUGAUAUCAGAGAUGCGGCUGCCCCAAGCACAUUUAGAAGUUGCACUCUUGGUACAAAAGUAAAGGUUUGUUCUCUUCUGCCUGCAAAACUACAGCCAGCAACUAGAGGUGAUACCUGAAUGUAUCCGGAUUGACAAUCUUCAUCCCUGGAAAACAUGACUCCCAGAAUCCAGCGGUGGGGGACGGGGGGGUCGCAUGGCGGGAGAACAGCUCCUCCCAGUGUGCCUCAACACAGGGCAUCCAACACCCACUUGUCACUCCCAAGGCUGACUGAUGAAUAAUGUUCCCAAGUCUCGCUGCA